rnacentral:rRNA from 1 species
AUUGAACGCUGGCGGCAGGCCUAACACAUGCAAGUCGAACGAGUGGCGGACGGGUGAGUAAUGUCUGGGAAACUGCCUGCUGGAGGGGGAUAACUACUGGAAACGGUAGCUAAUACCACAUACCCUCAGAUGUGCCCAGAUGGGAGUCGCUGGUUGGUGGGGUAACGGCUCACCAAGGCAACGAUCCCUAGAUGGUCUGAGAGGAUGACCAGCCACACUGGAACGGAGAUACGGCCCAGACCCCUACGGGAGGGAGCAGUGGGGAAUAUUGCACAAGGGGCGCAAGCCUGAUGCAGCCAUGCCGCGUGUAUGAAGAAGGCCUGCGGGUUGUAAAGUACUUUCAGCGGGGAGGCGUUACUCGCAGAAGAAGCACCGGCUAACUCCGUGCCAGCAGCCGCGGUAAUAC